UUACUUGUCUACAAGAAGACAGUCUGAACCAAUAUAAACAGGAGACAAGGACCACAUUUGUUGUAAAAAAAAUGAUAAAAAUGAUAAACCGUCUGCACAGAAGGGUGAGUUCGAAUUUAAUCAAGGAGCGAUAUGAAUCUAGGUCGUUAGUAAACUAGAUAGCAAGCUAGCAAACUCCGUUGACUAGUAACGUUAGUUAGAUUUAUUUAAUUUAUUUAUUUAACCAGGUAGGCAAGUUGAGAACAAGUUCUGUAAAGAAUUGCUAUUUUCUUAUGCAAGUGAUCAGCCUACUGCUAAAUACAUGGCUACAACUCACAGUAAAGCCUGUGGGGCCCUCUACAGGAUAACUCACGCACACACACCCAUAACUGCUAGGCCAGCGCACACACCAAAUUUCCCCCUUUAGCUGAACAUUGUGUGACGGCGGGAUUCUAGAGUGACGGACGGCCCAGCUGAGCCAAUGCAAGAAGACUACCUCCAGUGUGAACCAAUCCGAAGAAUCGAACUUCCAGAAUCAACGUACUUUCUGUUUUGUAUAAAUUGUAUUGUACCGGUUCACUCUUUCUCUUUUCCUGCUGUUCUGUGCGAGCGAAUGGGAGAGCCGUAUUUACGUGUACCAGAUAUUCUCACUCUGAAUAAACUGUCGCUUGUCGUACAAUUUUAACACCUUGUCUGAAUCGAUCCUUUACCGGCUCAUCCUUCUAAUAUCCUUUUAUCAACAGUUCUCAUUUACAAUUGCGACCUGGCCAAGAUAAAGCAAAGCAGUUCGACAUAUACAACAACACAGAGUUACACAUGGAGUAAAACAAACAGUCAAUAAUAAUACAGUAGAAACAAGUCUAUAUACGAUAUCUCGCAUCAUGAAAAAACUUGCAUUGGGAACUAAAAUAUGUUCCCCAUGACGGAACCCCCUUCCUGGUGGUUGGGAGGAAAACCUACGCCUGCCACCAGGGCGAGGAUAAACAUGCGAGUGAUAAGAAGAGGGAAGCAGAAAUGUGUCUGGACUGUGCCUACCUGAAGCCUACCUGGACUGUGGCUGAGGACCCUGGGCAUGCCUACCCAUAGCCCCUCCCCACACUCCCUAGCAUGCUUGUACCUAAGCUAAAUACUGAGUAUUCCAUCUCACCCUCUUCCUCUCCUCUUCUGUCCUCUCCUCCCCUAAGCCCAGUCCUGGGCACAAACUAUUUUAUAUUGAAUUUAUAUUGAGCAUGCUUUUUUGUCUAGGACUAGGUGUAAUCUGAGUCUGGGAAACCAGUCCAUUGUCUAGACAAUGAGAUUAUUCCAGAAUACUAUCAAAAUAAAGAUUGUUUUCUAUGAUUGUUCUAUGGUACAUUUAACAUUUCCAUUCUACAAUAUGGCCUUUGACAAAGAAAACUCUCUCAAAA